UGGGGAAUUUUGGACAAUGGGGGCAACCCUGAUCCAGCCAUUCCGCGUGAGUGAAGAAGGCCUUCGGGUUGUAAAGCUCUUUCAGCUGGAGUGAAACGGUGAGCUCUAACAUAGCUUGCUAAUGACGGUACCAGCAGAAGAAGCACCGGCUAACUACGUGCCAGCAGCCGCGGUAAUACGUAGGGUGCGAGCGUUAAUCGGAAUUACUGGGCGUAAAGCGUGCGCAGGCGGAUUGUUAAGCAAGACGUGAAAUCCCCGGGCUUAACCUGGGAAUGGCGUUUUGAACUGGCAGUCUAGAGUGCGUCAGAGGGGGGUGGAAUUCCACGUGUAGCAGUGAAAUGCGUAGAGAUGUGGAGGAACACCAAUGGCGAAGGCAGCCCCCUGGGAUGACACUGACGCU
rnacentral:rRNA from 1 species